AGUCCGCGCCGUAAACGGUGGGCGCUAGUUGUGGGGACCUUCCACGGUCUCUGCGACGCAGCUAACGCAUUAAGCGCCCCGCCUGGGGAGUACGAUCGCAAGAUUAAAACUCAAAGGAAUUGACGGGGCCCCGCACAAGCAGCGGAGCAUGCGGCUUAAUUCGACGCAACGCGAAGAACCUUACCAAGGCUUGACAUAUAGGGAAAAGCAGCAGAGAUGUUGUGUCCGCAAGGGCUCUAUACAGGUGGUGCAUGGUUGUCGUCAGCUCGUGUCGUGAGAUGUUGGGUUAAGUCCCGCAACGAGCGCAACCCUCGUUCUGUGUUGCCAGCAUUUAGUUGGGGACUCACAGGAGACUGCCGGGGUUAACUCGGAGGAAGGUGGGGAUGACGUCAAAUCAUCAUGCCCCUUAUGUCUUGGGCUGCACGCAUGCUACAAUGGCCGAUACAAAGGGCUGCAAUACCGCAAGGUGGAGCGAAUCCCAAAAAGUCGGUCUCAGUUCGGAUUGGGGUCUGCAACUCGACCCCAUGAAGUCGGAGUUGCUAGUAAUCGUAGAUCAGCAACGCUACGGUGAAUACGUUCCCGGGGCUUGUACACACCGCCCGUCACAUCACGAAAGUCGGUAACACCCAAAGUCAGUGGCCCAACCGCAAGGAGGGAGCUGC
rnacentral:rRNA from 1 species